UCUAAGUUUCUUAACAGUGACCAGUGUAGCCAUGGUUAGCAAGCGCUGGGAGAGAACACAGUCCACUACUGCUGUCAGUGACCACUAAGUAUGCAGAAGAUUUCCUCUGAUCUGAAAGCUGGAGGAUAUGGCUCAAUGACCCAUUUCCUGGCACUGGAAAGUGGAGAGUUGACGUCACAGGAGAGGCCGCGUUGAAGGAAGCACAGUUGGGCCAAGCUUUGCAUCUGCACUCGGACCCCCUGCUGGAACUCCUGAUUUCAGGCUGGGCAGGAAGCCUGAUUCCCAGGAUUCAAGGAGGCUGCAGAGCCCUGAAGGAUAAAGCCAUGUUGUGGAGAUGCUCUUAACAGAAACACCUGGGCCUUGACGAAACUGGAAGAACACACCAGGAGUCACUCUAGGACCUGCAGGUG
rnacentral:lncRNA from 1 species